GACGAACGCUGGCGGCGUGCUUAACACAUGCAAGUCGAACGGUAAGGCCUUCGGGUACACGAGUGGCGAACGGGUGAGUAACACGUGGGUGAUCUGCCCUGCACUUCGGGAUAAGCCUGGGAAACUUGGUCUAAUACCGGAUAUGACUUCUGGCUUCAUGGUUGGGAGUGGAAAGCUUUUGCGGUGUGGGAUGGGCCCGCGGCCUAUCAGCUUGUUGGUGGGGUAAUGGCCUACCAAGGCGACGACGGGUAGCCGGCCUGAGAGGGUGUCCGGCCACACUGGGACUGAGAUACGGCCCAGACUCCUACGGGAGGCAGCAGUGGGGAAUAUUGCACAAUGGGCGCAAGCCUGAUGCAGCGACGCCGCGUGGGGGAUGACGGCCUUCGGGUUGUAAACCUCUUUCAGUAGGGACGAAGCGCAAGUGACGGUACCUACAGAAGAAGCACCGGCCAACUACGUGCCAGCCGCCGCGGUAA
rnacentral:rRNA from 1 species